CCCGAUUCUGGAUAGGAUCGUCCGGACGGACUGCGGUGCGUGGAGGUGCACCAGUAUGGUCAUAUGGCCCAAAGACAAGCGUGUCAUAGCCUGGAAGUAAGGUUAAGGGCAUCAGAAAACUAAGGGAUAGCUAAACCAAGAAGGAGACAAGUAUAAAGAAGCUGUACUGAGAGUAUGGCAGCUGGGCGGUGCGGUAAGCAAGCUCAACCAGCUAGGUGAAGAGUAGUGCAGCUCAGUAUAGCUCACUGAAGAGUAUGUCAGCUCCCUGAGCUAGAUGGACUAGCUCACUCAGCUGGGUCAGCUGGGGAUCAGCUCAACUCAGCU
rnacentral:lncRNA from 1 species